UGCAAAUUGAACAAAAAAUGUGCGCUAUCUCUUUGGCAUUUUGUUUUUAGUUUUUCACUUGUGUACACAAUGCAAAACAUUUUGCAUAAGUCUGGUUUCAGAAUAGGUGGCAUUGGGAAAGAAGCAUGUUGCGAUAUCACCUUCACAUGUAUGCAAGUAUUCUAUCCGCCAGAAGAGAUCAUGCAUGUACCUCGUGGUGGCGUGCAAAGCCGGAGUGUUACAUUGAAGAACAGCGGUAUCUAGUGCAUCUUGUCCACUGCAAACAAUGGUAUCUGGUACUCCGCGAGGUAGAAUAGGUCGUGAAUCAGCAUGACCAAGGUGACGUCCUCCAGUUGGCUCACAGUUGCAGCGCUG
rnacentral:lncRNA from 1 species